rnacentral:misc_RNA from 1 species
GGAAGUAAAAGUUGUAACAAGGUCUCUGUAGGUGAACCUGCGGAGGGAUCAUUACAGAGUUCAUGCCCUACCGGGUAGAUCUCCCACCCUAUGUUAUUAUUACUUUGUUGCUUUGGCGGGCCGUUAGGCUCCGGCCCGACUACCGGCCCCGGCUGGUAAGCGCCCGCCAGAGGACCCAAAACCCUGAAUAUUAGUGUCGUCUGAGUACUAUAUAAUAGUUAAAACUUUCAACAACGGAUCUCUUGGUUCUG